ensembl:snoRNA
CCUUCCCUCAGAAGCGUUCCAGGUGUGGCCACUGUGUCACGUGUGUGUCAGUAGGUGGCAGAGGGGAGAGAGGCCGUGUCCACACUCUGUUCUGAUCUGUGAACAUCUGAAUGAUGAGUAGCCUGACACU